rnacentral:rRNA from 1 species
GGCUACCACUUUUAAGGAAGGCAGCAGGCGCGCAAAUUACCCAAUCCCGACACGGGGAGGUAGUGACAAUAAAUACUGAUACAGGGCUCUUAUGGGUCUUGUAAUCGGAAUGAGUACAAUUUAAAUCCCUUAACGAGGAACAAUUGGAGGGCAAGUCUGGUGCCAGCAGCCGCGGUAAUUCCAGCUCCAAUAGCGUAUAUUAAAGUUGUUGUGGUUAAAAAGCUCGUAGUUGAACCUUGGGCCUGGCUGGCCGGUCCCCCUCACCGGGUGCACUGGUUCCGGCCGGGUCUUUCCCUCUGGAACCGCAUCCCCUUCACUGGGUGUGUCGGGGAAACAGGACUUUUACUUUGAAAAAAUUAGAGUGCUCCAGGCAGGCCUAUGCUCGAAUAGUACAGCAUGGAAUAAUAGAAUAGGACGUGUGGUUCUAUUUUGUUGGUUUCUAGGACCGCCGUAAUGAUUAAUAGGGACAGUCGGGGGCAUCAGU